ACCUGGAACAUAUUCAGGAGUACUGAAAAACCACAGAGAUCCAAGGGUCUUGAGCUAACCAAAUUUCAGGUAUUAUUUUUUGUAGUACAGUUGUUCCAUAUGUUAUUUGGAUCAACAGAUAUGGACUAGUAUGCUUUAUGUUUCUUCCACUGAUGAUUAU
rnacentral:ribozyme from 2 species